rnacentral:rRNA from 1 species
GUCGAACGAUGAUGCCCAGCUUGCUGGGUGGAUUAGUGGCGAACGGGUGAGUAACACGUGAGUAACCUGCCCCUGACUCUGGGAUAAGCGUUGGAAACGACGUCUAAUACUGGAUAUGACUGCCGGCCGCAUGGUCUGGUGGUGGAAAGAUUUUUUGGUUGGGGAUGGACUCGCGGCCUAUCAGCUUGUUGGUGAGGUAAUGGCUCACCAAGGCGACGACGGGUAGCCGGCCUGAGAGGGUGACCGGCCACACUGGGACUGAGACACGGCCCAGACUCCUACGGGAGGCAGCAGUGGGGAAUAUUGCACAAUGGGCGAAAGCCUGAUGCAGCAACGCCGCGUGAGGGAUGACGGCCUUCGGGUUGUAAACCUCUUUUAGUAGGGAAGAAGCGUAAGUGACGGUACCUGCAGAAAAAGCACCGGCUAACUACGUGCCAGCAGCCGCGGUAAUACGUAGGGUGCAAGCGUUGUCCGGAAUUAUUGGGCGUAAAGAGCUCGUAGGCGGUUUGUCGCGUCUGCUGUGAAAUCCCGAGGCUCAACCUCGGGCUUGCAGUGGGUACGGGCAGACUAGAGUGCGGUAGGGGAGAUUGGAAUUCCUGGUGUAGCGGUGGAAUGCGCAGAUAUCAGGAGGAACACCGAUGGCGAAGGCAGAUCUCUGGGCCGUAACUGACGCUGAGGAGCGAAAGCGUGGGGAGCGAACAGGAUUAGAUACCCUGGUAGUCCACGCCGUAAACGUUGGGCGCUAGAUGUAGGGACCUUUCCACGGUUUCUGUGUCGUAGCUAACGCAUUAAGCGCCCCGCCUGGGGAGUACGGCCGCAAGGCUAAAACUCAAAGGAAUUGACGGGGGCCCGCACAAGCGGCGGAGCAUGCGGAUUAAUUCGAUGCAACGCGAAGAACCUUACCAAGGCUUGACAUACACCGGAAACGGCCAGAGAUGGUUGCCCCCUUGUGGUCGGUGUACAGGUGGUGCAUGGUUGUCGUCAGCUCGUGUCGUGAGAUGUUGGGUUAAGUCCCGCAACGAGCGCAACCCUCGUUCUAUGUUGCCAGCGCGUUAUGGCGGGGACUCAUAGGAGACUGCCGGGGUCAACUCGGAGGAAGGUGGGGAUGACGUCAAAUCAUCAUGCCCCUUAUGUCUUGGGCUUCACGCAUGCUACAAUGGCCGGUACAAAGGGCUGCGAUACCGUAAGGUGGAGCGAAUCCCAAAAAGCCGGUCUCAGUUCGGAUUGAGGUCUGCAACUCGACCUCAUGAAGUCGGAGUCGCUAGUAAUCGCAGAUCAGCAACGCUGCGGUGAAUACGUUCCCGGGCCUUGUACACACCGCCCGUCAAGUCAUGAAAGUCGGUAACACCCGAAGCCGGUGGCCUAACCCUGUGGAAGAGCCG